rnacentral:miRNA from 1 species
CAAAAAUUCGCAAUCAAAAGC